rnacentral:miRNA from 1 species
CCCACGAGGGGUGAUGUCUC